UGGGGAAUAUUGGACAAUGGGCGAAAGACUGAUCCAGCCAUGCCGCGUGUGUGAAGAAGGUCUUCGGAUUGUAAAGCACUUUAAGUUGGGAGGAAGGGCAUUAACCUAAUACGUUAGUGUUUUGACGUUACCGACAGAAUAAGCACCGGCUAACUCUGUGCCAGCAGCCGCGGUAAUACAGAGGGUGCAAGCGUUAAUCGGAAUUACUGGGCGUAAAGCGCGCGUAGGUGGUUUGUUAAGUUGGAUGUGAAAUCCCCGGGCUCAACCUGGGAACUGCAUUCAAAACUGACUGACUAGAGUAUGGUAGAGGGUGGUGGAAUUUCCUGUGUAGCGGUGAAAUGCGUAGAUAUAGGAAGGAACACCAGUGGCGAAGGCGACCACCUGGACUAAUACUGACACUGAGGUGCGAAAGCGUGGGGAGCAAACA
rnacentral:rRNA from 1 species